CCCUUAGAUGUUCUGGGCCGCACGCGCGCUACACUGAAUGGAUCAACGUGUUUUCCCUUCCCGAGAGGGACGGGUAACCCGCUGAACCCCAUUCGUGGUAGGGAUCGGAGCUUGCAAUUGUUCUCCGUGAACCAGGAAUUCCCAGUAAGCGCAAGUCAUCAGCUUGCAUUGAUUACGUCCCUGCCCUUUGUACACACCGCCCGUCGCACCUACCGAUUGAAUGGUCCGGUGAAAUCUCGGGACGGCGGCUUGGUCGCUUGCGUCCGACUGCUGAAACUUGAUUAAACCAUAUCAUUUAGAGGAAGGUGAAGUCGUAACA
rnacentral:rRNA from 1 species